ensembl:lncRNA
CUACGCUCUGCUUCAGCCAUCCCCAUCUAAGCUAAGCCGGGAGGGCCUUCGGUUUGCACAGACUACGGCACGGGAUCACUACCUGCCUGUCCAAAGGAACUCACGGCACAGCAGCCUGGCUAACCCCAGAUGAGAAGCCCACUGUUAACUGGACUGUCUUCCUUGGAGGGAGUCUGAAAUCUCAUGUGGGAGCUGAAGAAUUUCUCUUCACUCGCAAGGGUCUGCAACUAAAUAUGAUAUGCCAUG